UGUAGUCGUAGAGAUACACGGGUGGAAUUCCUCCGCGCGCACACAUCCAGCAUUUAUUUUCUGUUCUUUAGAGACAAAUUCUCGUCGAUCAGAUUUCUUUUGUGAAAAGCAGUUGGUGCAUCUUCUCUUUCGUAUUCGUCAACAACUUCUGGAAAUUCCGUUGCUAAAAAGUUUGUGAUGCUAUGGUGGGUUAUUUGUGUGGCAGGGUGAACUCUUGAAUUCCUCAACUAUGAAUUUUGGGUUUGUGAACAAUCUCUCAUUGUUUCAUAAGCAUUCAAAAAGAGAUUUGCAGACAAUCCCUGAAUCUAAAAUUAUUAUCCUAGAACAAUCAAAGCCAAACACUGCCUUUAAUAUCAAGAUAUGGGUUUGGUCCCUACUUUCAGUUGUUCCUUGGGCUAUGAAUACUGGAGAAAAAAUUCAGGGACCUUCCACCAUAAAUAGAAGGUUAAAAAAGCAUGCACGGCCACGCAGGGUUAUUGAGAGUAAUGCUGGGAUUACCCGUUUACCCUUUAGACCCUAUGUGCCGAAGGUUCCAUGGCAUACAGGUCCAAGAGCCUUCCUAUCUCAGCUGUUUCCACGAUAUGGCCAUUACUGUGGUCCUAAUUGGUCCAGUGGGAAAGAUGGUGGGUCUCUUCUUUGGGACAAGCGACCUGUUGACUGGUUGGAUUUUUGCUGCUAUUGCCAUGAUGUUGGUUAUGACACUCAUGAUCAGGCCAAGCUGCUGGAAGCUGACUUUGCAUUUCUAGAGUGCUUGGAGAGACAACAUGGUAGUGUAAAGGGAGAUCCUCACAUUGCUCAACUUUACAAGACCAUGUGCAUAACAGGUCUUAACAAUUUUCUAAUACCAUACCGAAGCACUUUGGUCAGGUUACAGGCUGGGCAACCUUUGCCCAAUUUCAGCUGGCUAAGCUAUGUGAAAUGGAAAUAUUGGAAAUUGCAGAAAGCUUGAAAAUACACCAGGGAUCAUUAAUGAGCUGCCAUGUUUCGUCCCAUGCGGAAAAUUGCUGAAACUCGUCCUAAACCAGUAUUAUUUGUUAAUUUCUCUUGAUUGAAUUGCCUGGAGCUUGCUCUCUGUGUAGAAGCUAUUCUGGUGUCUUUGGAAAAUGGUUGUAGGUGAAAACAUAGCUUCAAAAUUGCUCGACCUGAGGCUGGCUUGGCAUGGAUGACACAAUAAGAUAGCGUUCAGAGUAUCCUGCAUUCAUUUGCUGAUAAUCUGAUUGGAAAGAAAUAACAGUAUUUCUCUGGAAAAGAAGCAGAUGCACACUCCUCCAUUGGUCCUCCACUAAGUAUUGAUUUCUAGGUAUUGUGGCAAUCUUGCAUAUAACUUAAGGUAAAUUCUGGAUGUGAUAUUUUUUUCCCUGAUCCCUGUUGUAUGCUAUUUUAUAUCUCCCUGUUUCUUUUUCUUUGGGAUGCCUUUGUUUGCGUUCAUUCUUGGUCUCACUUGUUGAUCUUGCUGAAACUCCUCAUUCUAUGCUAGUUGAUUUCAAUUGGAGCGGUUGAAAUAACCCCUUUUAAAAGGCAUAAUGAUCUUGGUUUUUCAUGUCGCAGGAUGCCGCAGGAAAACAUGGAAGUCAUGCUACGAUUCAGUUUUUGUUUGAUUUAACUGUUCUAAUUCCUCCGCCCUGACUAAUAACAACACCAUUACACUGACCCGGAUUAGGUUAUGACGCGCAGUCUUAUUUGUUCUUUGCUGUUACUUGCUGCAUGUCCAGUCCCUGAAUGCCCGUUGUAGGCUCUGUAUACGAAUAUGAUUCUGCUACUAAUGAACCGGACCUUUUUCCCUUAUCAUUCUUCUUGUUAAUUUGCUUACAGGUUCUUGCAUGCUUGCUAUUGGAUCCCUUUUUGAAGUCUGCCUCUGCCUUUGCUGUUAACUAGUGUGGGUGUUUCCUAUGGCCUGCUUAGCUCCUUGACAUGCCCCAGUUCUCUAACUCUGCACUUGCAAGCUGCAGCUGCCAUUUUUUUCUUAUAUGUUUUUUUGGUUUCCCUUUCAUAUAGCUAGGCAAUUGAGGAGAUGUUGGAUUGAAUGAUCCCCCCUGUCCUUUUGUUUCAGGGCAGAUUGACAUAGUACAUAUUUUGCUUCUUUAAAUAUUCUGUUCUACGCCAUG